AAAUUAAAAAGACUAUUGAAAAUUAGAGUAAUCAAAAAACAAGUAGGGGAAAAAAAACAAAAAAGCUGAAAAAUAGUAGAGUAGGGAAUCGAACCUAAGACCAAGGCACAGCCUUACUAAGGACUCAACCACCAAACCAUAUUCAAUAUUGUGAUAUUUACUGUAAGUAUAUGAUAUUUAUAGCCUUUUACUGUAUUUUCUUGAUUUUUUUUUUUUUAAAAAAAAAAACUUUUUUUUCGAAAAUGGGGGGACAACUGUCCCCCCUUGUUCUAAUGUGGCUCCGCCAAUGGUUGAAGUAGAUUAAUUUGCUAUUAAUUAAAUUGUCUUAAUAUUGAUGUCUCAUCAAAAAGAUUGUUUUUUUCAUUGAAUAUAGGAAUUCUUUUGUUAUUGAGGUUUUCGUAAAAAGUGAAAAACGAUACCUAAAUUGAAGAUUAUGGAUUAGGUUUUAUAUUUAAUCAGAUUAUGGCAUAUUUUGCUGACAUUUUGUUGAAUGCGGGAACUUUUUCAUUCCAACUUUGAUAGAGAUGCUAUAAAGGGCUCUUGAAUCUUCUAAAGGUAUUUCAUUGGCAAAUGGGCUAAGAGUUUUUUUUUGGGAACUUUAUACAUUCAACUAUUUCUCUGAAUUAAUUAAAGGAAAAAUUGCCCAGAAUAAUCCGACCUUUGCCUCGUCCGCCCAAAAUAAUUCCACCUUUCGAUUAUUUUUCAAUAAUCCGACCUUUAUACCCAAUCUGCUCUUAAUGGACCCAAGUGACCGGUUAACUGAUAAAUAAGUAAUUUUAUUGAAUUUUUGAUUUAAAAUUUAUGUGUCACUAUAUAAUUUGUCUAAACUUUUAAAUUAAAAAAAAUUAUAAAAAAAAUUGCAGCCACCCAGUCACUCCCUCCCUCAAUCCCAGCCACCGUGAGAUUGAAGGAGAAACUGUGACAUUGGAGUAGCAACCGUGACAUCGAAGCUCGGUUACCGUCGUCGCUAUUGUGGGUAGUCUGGGCGACUGAAAUUGGGGCAGGGGAAGGUGAGGGAGGCCGAAAUAGUUGCCAUGGGUUCUUCAAAUUGAGCCAAAAUUGGCUGAAAUUAGGGCUGCUAGAGGUUCAUUCAUGGCGGCAGAUUGCUGCAGUUUGAAUUGCAGUGGAUGAGCGGUUUUUGGUGCAGUUGUGAUUGGUGGUUGCUGCUGCAAUUGCGGGCUUGUGAAUUGGAGAUGGCUAGUGGUUGUAUACACGGUAUGAGUGAGGUGGUCUGGUGGUGUAAUGUGGAAAGUUGUGGAUUGUGGUAUCGGGGUGUGUGGCUGGUGCGAGGUGAGGCUAUGGGUGAGAGAUGGUUAGGGCUACUUGCGGUGGCCGGAAUUGGCGGCGUUGUGGCUGGUCGCUGCUGUGUUGAAUGAGGAACAGGGGAAGCAAGGGUGUGGCGUGUUUGGUUGGCAAAAGGGGUUGGUGAUUCAAGGGAGAAUGGUCAGGCGAGCGCGGCUCCGGUGUCGGCUUCGGCGUUAGGUUAGGGGUCUGGGUGACCGGAGCGACGAGGCAGCUCAAGGAAGCUAGGCAGGGAAAGGGAAUUUAAUUUUUUUUUAAAAAAAAAAUCUUUAAGAAACUUUAACUUUUCUAAUAUUUAUUUUUAUUUUUAUUUUUUUUUGAAAAAUCACGAACCGACACGUGUCAAUUAACUUGUUAUAGCAAGUUGCAUGACCGGUUAGGACCAUUUUGAGCAGAUUGAUAUCAAAGGUCGGAUUAUUUAAAAAUAAUCGAAAGGUGGGAUUAUUUUGGGCGGAUGAGGUAAAGGUCGGAUUAUUCUGGGCAAUUUUUCCUUAAUUAAAUUAGUGUAAUGGUUUUGCUUUUGCUACAUAGCUUAUUGAACUUAAUAGGUAAUUAGGGAGUAGUAAUAAGUGGAUGUCUACUAAUCCAUUGUAUGUACUUGACUUGCUUAAGUAAGAAAAUUCGACAAAUAUUAUACCUAGAAUUGAUUUUCCAUGUAAGAAGGGUUAGUGCACCGUGCCCCUAUGGCUGCUCCAAAGCCAGUGAUAUAUCUAUUAUAUUUUAACUACCGUUUUCUAUUGAGUUGUGCAAUUUCUGUCUUCUUUUUAAGGUUUUAUAAAAUGUGUUAACUCUUGUUGCAAGCUUGUCAUCUUUAGACUUCAAAACGGAAGAGGUAUUUGUUUUAUCCUUAUAUAUUCGUUCAUUUUAGAAGAAUGAACAACGAUACUUUGGGUUUAAUCACACCACUUGUUAUUUUAUUUCCAUUACAUAGCUGGGUGCAAUUUUUAGUGUCAGGAUGGUGGUGGUACGGAUAAAGCACCUACAUCAAAACACAAGCCCAUGAUAAAACAGGAGGUGCUACUAACUCUUGUUGGGGAAGUUAAUCAAGUGGCCCCUGUGAUGAAGAAGAAAUUUAGUCUUAAAUAGAGAGUUAGAAGACCCCGGGAUUGAACAGACGAGCUUGCUGAGUCUGAAAUAAUACUGAUUAUCCUCUCUAAAGAAAUUCGUCAUCAAUGAGAUUGGAAUAAGCAAUGUAGCUGCAACAAGAGAAUAGACCGGGACACUUGAGCAUCAAAACAAGCGACUACAUCAUCUAUAACGCCAUCAUCUAUCUAUUUUGGUUAUUAGUCUUAAUUAUAUUAGUGAUGUAUUUAUUUAGGGACAAGCUACUAUAAUAUGCGACGUUUUUUUUAAUUAAUUGUGUUGAUGUUUUCGUUUAUAAAUUUGGUAAUU